rnacentral:rRNA from 1 species
CCUACGGGAGGCAGCAGUGGGGAAUAUUGGACAAUGGGCGAAAGCCUGAUCCAGCAAUGCCGCGUGAGUGAUGAAGGCCUUAGGGUUGUAAAGCUCUUUUACCAGGGAUGAUAAUGACAGUACCUGGAGAAUAAGCUCCGGCUAACUCCGUGCCAGCAGCCGCGGUAAUACGGAGGGAGCUAGCGUUGUUCGGAAUUACUGGGCGUAAAGAGUACGUAGGCGGUUAUUCAAGUCAGAGGUGAAAGCCCGGGGCUCAACCCCGGAACUGCCUUUGAAACUAGAUAGCUAGAGUCUUGGAGAGGUUAGUGGAAUUCCGAGUGUAGAGGUGAAAUUCGUAGAUAUUCGGAAGAACACCAGUGGCGAAGGCGACUAACUGGACAAGUACUGACGCUGAGGUACGAAAGCGUGGGGAGCAAACAGGAUUAGAUACCCUGGUAGUCCACGCCGUAAACGAUGAUAACUAGUUGUUCGGGCACUUGGUGCCUGAGUGACGCAGCUAACGCAUUAAGUUAUCCGCCUGGGGAGUACGGUCGCAAGAUUAAAACUCAAAGAUAUAGACGNGNGAGAGCGACGACGACGACGACGAGGAGAG